AUGGAGCCGACCUUGAAAUACCACCCUUUAAUGUUUGAUGUUCUAACGUGGACCCGUAAUCCGGGUUGCGGACAGUGUCUGGUGGGUAGUUUGACUGGGGCGGUCUCCUCCUAAAGAGUAACGGAGGAGCACGAAGGUUGGCUAAUCCUGGUCGGACAUCAGGAGGUUAGUGCAAUGGCAUAAGCCAGCUUGACUGCGAGCGUGACGGCGCGAGCAGGUGCGAAAGCAGGUCAUAGUGAUCCGGUGGUUCUGAAUGGAAGGGCCAUCGCUCAACGGAUAAAAGGUACUCCGGGGAUAACAGGCUGAUACCGCCCAAGAGUUCAUAUCGACGGCGGUGUUUGGCACCUCGAUGUCGGCUCAUCACAUCCUGGGGCUGAAGUAGGUCCCAAGGGUAUGGCUGUUCGCCAUUUAAAGUGGUACGCGAGCUGGGUUUAGAACGUCGUGAGACAGUUCGGUCCCUAUCUGCCGUGGGCGCUGGAGAACUGAGGGGGGCUGCUCCUAGUACGAGAGGACCGGAGUGGACGCAUCACUGGUGUUCGGGUUGUCAUGCCAAUGGCACUGCCCGGUAGCUAAAUGCGGAAGAGAUAAGUGCUGAAAGCAUCUAAGCACGAAACUUGCCCCGAGAUGAGUUCUCCCUG
rnacentral:rRNA from 1 species